UACGUAGGGUGCAAGCGUUGUCCGGAAUUACUGGGCGUAAAGAGCUCGUAGGCGGUUUGUCGCGUCGUCUGUGAAAUCCCGCAGCUCAACCCCGGGCCUGCAGUCGAUACGGGCAGGCUAGAGUCCGGCGGGGACGACGUGAAUUCCUGGUGUAGCGGUGAAAUGCGCAGAUAUCAGGAGGAACACCGGUGGCGAAGGCGGGUGUCUGG
rnacentral:rRNA from 1 species